rnacentral:tRNA from 1 species
GGUAAGGUGGCUCCAUGGUAGAGUGCUUGCCUUGCAUGCAUGAGGCCCUAGGUUCAAUUCCUCAGCACCA